rnacentral:lncRNA from 1 species
CAUUUCUUUUUGCAACUUUUCUCUUGAAACCUCUGUAUGGUUAUCUUUGUUGACUUGCCAUUUGCACUUAUAGAGAUAGAUCAAGUAUUGCUUUCAGUACAAAAUAACUUGCUGAGCAUUAAAGACAUAAAUACUGAGAUUUAUAAGAACAUUGUACUUACACGAGUAGUUUACUUUAGUGCAUUUCCAGGAAUGUUUUUUUCAGGGCUGAAUAGGACCCACAUUUUCAAUUCACCAACAGAUCAUUAGCUACUCACAAGAGGUAGAAAGAUCAGUCAAAGCAUAGGAUUGCAUCAUUAGUGAAAAGUGGAGAGUGAGAAGAAAGUUAUGGCUUCAGGUGUGGAUUCCUAUUGACCAGUAAGAACUCCUGGUCACACCCAUCACUUCUCACUUGCUAAAGGCUGAGAUAAUUCGUUUCUUUCUUUUCCUUUUCUUUUCUUUUCCCUUCCCUCCCCUUCCUUCCUUCUUUCUUCCUCCCUUUCUUCUUCCCUCUCAAACCUCAGUCUUGAGGGCCCCUUACUAAAAGAUGAGAGUAUGAAUUAGCAAUGUGACUUAUCUAACCUCAGCAUAGGCUGAGAGCAGUACCUUUUCUUUUCCCCAGCAUAAUUUUUGGAAGGUCCACUUUGUAGAAGAGCAUGCAUGGCUCAAGGAAACACCUUAAUAGCCUGAGCUACUUCCUCUCUCUAUUAUCUGAAACAAACCCCACCCUUCCAAAUGUAACAGUGGUUUCAGCUGUUAGAACACAUGACUUAUUAAGGAAACUUAAGAGAGUUAUUCUCUCUUCUGUCUGAUCUACUUUUAUACAGUCCCUUGCAUUCUUCCCGGUAGAGCUCAGGCUUGGAGCGCAGUCAGGAGAGAUGGAGAGGCUGGCUAGGCUGGAGACUCACUACUCCAUCCCUCCACACAUGCAAGGAAAGAGCCAUGCCUGCCCGCUGGAAGGGGGUUUGUAUGUCCUGUGAAGCCUUGGUAGUCCGUAGGCUGGGGAUAAAAGACCCCUAAAGUGUUAGGUCUGGGACUCUCCCUUCAGGUUCAUUCUGAGCCCUGGGAAUCUCACUGAGACCCACAUGAAAGAAUGUUCUGAAGUCCAUCCCUAUUUACGGCUUGCUUUCUGUCAUGCUUUCUUAUCAAGUCUCAGUUCUUCAGUUCUCUUUGCUUUCUCAGUUUUGAUCUCUGUGUCAUUUUUCCCCCCAUUUGUGUCGCUACUCAAAUUCCUUUCUGGUGCUCAGUAGGUGUCUUUUGACUUCUGAUCUGAUUCUGUUCAUCUGGUAUUCAAUUUAGCUUCCACUUUGUGAAGCUGGGUCUACCAAGGCAAAACUCGGAUGAAACUAGGUCCCAGUUAUUCCAAAGAAGGUCGGCUCAAUCUGUGGUUUAGUGCAAGGCUCUCCCUUUCUGCAUUCUCCACUCUUCCUCACCUCUUUAUUUUUCCAUCUGUGCCAAUUUAUUCAUUUAUAAAGAAAAAUAUAAAUGUCUAGUUUGUUGAAGUGCUUGUUUUGUUAGAUUUGCUUAAUAUUUUCCCGGUAGAAGAAGGAAAACUUGCUUAGCAAACAUGGAAUCAGAAAUAGGGUAGUCAAUGAUUAUUUGAUUAAGUUAUGCAGCUCUGGAACAGGAGAGUACUUUCCACCUGGGAUAUAGGCUUGUGCUUGGGAAUGCCCCCCGCCAUCCAGUACCAUGUUGGUGGUUUGGGUGGUGGAACUGGAAGAACUUCCUUUUCCAGGCACCAAUGCAGGUAGUUUACGUGGCUAAAAUAUUGGCUUUGAAAGUGCAUCCACCUUCUCGAAGUCUCAGGUCUCCGCUUUCUUUUCCUGCUGCUUUAAUGAUGGGUUUCUGCACUUCUUUUUACAUCACCCUCUUAUCUUUUGUUUCUUUCCUUGAAAAGACCCCUCUUAAGCUAUGCAUCCUAUGCCUUAGUGUACACUCCUGGCAUGGCACCUCUGUCUCUGUCUUCCUGGCCUCUACUCUGUUUUCCUAUGGUAGAGGGACUGCUCAUUUGCCACAGAAAAUCAGGGCAUCAUUGGUGACUAAAGACAAUAUCUACAGAAACUAUGUCUCUGGUGUUCUCUUGUGGCUCAACGGAAAUGAAUCAGAUUAGCACCCAUGAGGACACAAGUUUGAUCCCUGGCCUUGCUCAGUGGGUUAAGAAUCCAAUGUUGCCAUGAGCUGUGGUGUAGGUCGCAGAUGUGGCUUGGCUCUGGCAUUGCUGUGGCUGUGGCCUAGGCUGGUGGCUAUAGCUCCAAUUAGACCCCUAGCCUGGGAACUUCCAUAUGCCACAGGUGUGGCCCUAAGAAAGAAAGAAAGAAUGAAAGAAAGAAAGAAUGAAAGAAGGAAGGAAGGAAGGAAAGGAAAGGAAGGAAGGAAAGGAAGGAAGGAAGGAAGAAAGAGAGAGAGAGAGAGAAAGAACAAAAGAAAGAAACUAUGUCUCUUUACUUUUUCCGGAAAUAGGAAAGUGCCAUCACCAUUCAUUCUUCAUUUCUCUAGUUCAGCAAUGUGGCAGGAGCCAAGGUUCAUCAAAGAAUUUUGGACAACCUCAGCUAAUUGUCAGCCAUGUCAGUGACCCUUAAAAAUACAACUAUGGAGCUUUUAAUACUUUAUUACUUAUAGUGAGUGUUAUAUAAUAAUAUUUACCUUAAAAAAUCUUAUUGUUUAUUUGUCUUACCAAAGUUGGGAGUGGAGUGGGGGAGGUACAUCUUAGUAUCUGUUCUUAAUUAGUCCCUUUAGAAUUUCCUCACAGCAGCAUUUUUCUGUUUUAUUUUUUCCCUUGAGUAAAUGAGUAAGUAAGUAAGUGGGGGGAGAUCUCAAACUUGAUGGGAAAAUGAACUCAAGAAGAAUUAAAGAUGGGUAGUGAUAUCAUCCUCUUUUCCUUUUAGUGGUAUGAAUCCCACAUGUUCAUCAAUUGAAAUGAAGGUGCUAUAAAUGAAUGAAACUAGAAUGAAAAAGGGGUAAGUUAGGAUAUUUUUUUAAAAAAACCUGUGUUUUCAUUUUUUUAAACAAUGUGUAUUAAUUCCAGUUAGCUGUUUACAACAUGUUACAAAACUGUUUUAAUGAAGAACAGAGACUCAUUUGUAAGCAGUCCUUUUUCUUCCCGUGAUAUUGUGAAAGUAUGAUUUUUGAUUAGUUUAUCAUUUCCUCUGCAACCUGGCUUAUGCUGAUUUACUAGAAUCCUUGCUACUCAAAGUAUCUUUGUGUGCUAUAGCCCAAUUAUUAAUAGGGAAUUAGCAGAAGGGCAGAAUCUCAGGGCCUCAGCCCAGAGAUUGAGUGAGUGGAGUCAAAAUUAAUCAACUUUUAUUAAAUUUCACUUCUAUUUAUAGAUUAAAUUUCACUGUUUUGAUUUUCCUUAAAAUGUUAUCAUCUAAUAGCUUAUUUCAUUGACUUGGGUUAUCUACUUUAGAGAAAAACAUCUAUUAAAAUCUGGAAUAAUACCUCAAUCCUCUAUCAGUCUAUUCAGCAUAGAUGGGCUUUGACUAUAGGAUUCUAUUUGAGGGAGGUUUUAACAUCUUGGCGUUUCCUUUUCUCUGGAGUAUUGCGUUCUUUUCUCUAAUUGUGUGUUGGACAAUUUCCUCCAGCUCUCGGUAGAAACCAAUGGAUCAUGUUUUAUUCCCUGAAUUAGAAACUCCCAACAAAUUUAGAGAAGUCUUCUGAUAUACGUUCAGCUGAUGAUAUUUCAAAUGUAUUUGAUGAGGUGGAAAUUUCUUAAAUGUUAUAAAACAUUCAAAGACAAAUUUCAGCUUUUGCUUCAAAGAGGAGUGAAUUUGCAGAGUAUCAGGGAAGAAUUCUACUUAUCAUGGGUAUACAAUUUGCAUUUCUUAUACCUACUUUUGUUUGGGCCUCAAAUAACAGAUUUAAGUGGUCCAAACAUGUGUAAGCCAAAAACUAUAAGGCAAAAUAAAAAUAGUACAAGUCAUGUUUGGCUGAUAUCACUUUAAAAGGUAAACAUAUUGAUUAACCUGAGAAUCCAUAUUUUCUCCCUGAAGCUCAAUAAUACAGUAUAGCUAUCUGGAUGGCAUCCUUUAUCCCAUUUAUUUAUAAAUACUCUGAGGUUUUUUUAAAAAAGUUUAGGAUUGGCCUUUUAUUAAAAAAAAGCAUUUUUAGACAUUUAUCUGCAGAGGAAUCUCAAAUUGUUGUAAGACUAGAAUAUAAGCUCUCUGAAGGCAGGAUUUUUGUCUGUUUUUUUCACUGUUGUAUCCUCUAGCAUCUAGGAGAGUACCCCACCCAUGGCAUAUGAUAAAUACUUGCUGACAGAAUGAAUAAAUGAGUAAAGAGAUUAAAAAGAUGAAAAAUGUGAAGUCUCUUCAGAAUUAAACACUUUAGAUUCAUUUCUUCUUGGUAGUAUUUUCCUUAAAGUAUCUUUGAGUAAUACGAUUUUCCCUAGAAACAGGAUCUUAUCUAACAACUAAAUAGUGGGAGCCAAAGAUAAUUGUGAUUCUUGAAACAACUAUGUAGGAAUGGUCCCAACAAUACACCCAGUUUACCUACAGCACAUCUAUUUUGUGGCUUUUAUCUAUGAUGGUAUCACAGCUGAAGCGCUUUUCUCUUCAAGUCCCUCCUCUUCCCAUCCCUUGAUCUGACCCCAUCAUUUGACUUCCAGUAAUAAAACUCUACAGAGGGAUUUCCUUUCCACUUCCCAUCUAUCAUCUUCCUGGCCCUGCGACAGAGCCAAUUUUUCCUUUUAAUCUUGACUUUGAUGCCCUUCUCUCUACUUGGUUGGCUGGUGGCAUGGCUCUCAGCUAAAUUUAUCUGAUAUGUUCAUGAUGCCUAAUUUAUCUGUUUUCAUUAUAGAAGAACAUGCUCUCUGUGGAUGGUCAUGGGGUGGGAGUAGACAGGAAGAAAGGGAAUGGUGGAAUGAUAUUUUCCUUUUGGGGGAAGCUUUGUGGUCAAGGUAACUUUUAUUCUCUUCCAUUUCACCUCUAUGUCUUAUAAAAAGGCCCCAAAGAAAGCUGGACUUCCCACACUCCUGCUGAGUUCUAUAGCUUUUCAAAAAGGCUCAUGAUUUUAAAAUUUUAUUUUAUAAUUUUAAAAGGAAAAGGAAACGCUGUUGCUCUACUUAAUUUUACUGCUAAAAAUGUGAUGGGCAAUUCUACGUGUUUUGUGGACUGGCCUAUGCAACUUAAUUCCUACUGGGAAAUACACUGU